AGGUCAGCGAAAACACAGGCGUUUUGUUUACAUGGGUCACUGCGUCUGCACCUGUGCUGUCCGAGA
rnacentral:snoRNA from 18 species